CCUACGGGUGGCAGCAGUGAGGAAUAUUGGUCAAUGGACGAGAGUCUGAACCAGCCAAGUAGCGUGAAGGAUGACUGCCCCAUGGGUUGUAAACUUCUUUUAUAUGGGAAUAAAAUGUUCCACGUGUGGGUUUUUGUAUGUACCAUAUGAAUAAGCAUCGGCUAACUCCGUGCCAGCAGCCGCGGUAAUACGGAGGAUCCGAGCGUUAUCCGGAUUUAUUGGGUUUAAAGGGUGCGUAGGUGGAUUGUUAAGUCAGUUGUGAAAGUUUGCGGCUCAACCAUAAAAUUGCAGUUGAAACUGGCAGUCUUGAGUACAGUAUAGGUGGGCGGAAUCCGUGGUGUAGCGGUGAAAUGCUUAGAUAUCGCGAAGAACUCCGAUUGCGAAGGCAGCUCACUGGACUGGAACUGACACUGAGGCACGAAAGUGUGGGUAUCGAACAGGAUUAGAUACCCUGGUAGUC
rnacentral:rRNA from 1 species